UACGGGGGGAGCAAGCGUUGUUCGGAUUUACUGGGCGUAAAGGGCGCGUAGGCGGCGCAACAAGUCACUUGUGAAAUCUCCGGGCUUAACCCGGAGCGGCCAAGUGAUACUGUCGUGCUAGAGUGCGGAAGGGGCUACUGGAAUUCUCGGUGUAGCGGUGAAAUGCGUAGAUAUCGAGAGGAACACCUGCGGCGAAGGCGGGUAACUGGGCCGACGCUGACGCUGAGGCGCGAAAGCCAGGGGAGCGAACGGG
rnacentral:rRNA from 1 species